rnacentral:rRNA from 1 species
CACGUAGGGGGCGAGCGUUGUCCGGAUUUAUUGGGCGUACAGAGCUCGUAGGCGGUUUGGCAAGUCGGGGGUGAAAUUUCGAGGCUCAACCUCGAAACGCCACUCGAUACUGCCAUGACUGGAGUCCGGUAGAGGAGUGCGGAAUUCCUGGUGUAGCGGUGAAAUGCGCAGAUAUCAGGAGGAACACCAACGGCGAAGGCAGCACUCUGGGCCGGUACUGACGCUGAGGAGCGAAAGCGUGGGGAGCAAACAGG